rnacentral:lncRNA from 1 species
AUCACCAUCCUCGUGAUGAUCCUAUGGUCAGGAGCUGUUUAUGAGUUAGUUAUGUAAAUUCAUGCCUUAAAUUUUCAACUCUUGAAAAUAUAAAUUGAUAUUCCUACUAACUCAAAGGAUGUAUCACAGACACAAUGUACACAAUGUGAUAGAAGAAUAACCCAUUUAUUGAUUUAUAGUCAAAAUUAUAAAUUUGCCCUUAGAUUUGUACAGAAUGUGUCAGCCAAUCUGGCAUCUAGGGCACACAUCUAAUAGUUCACUCUCCUUAUUAGGAGUGAUUGUCCCUUAUUGAUCACUCACAAUCUCUAUGCACACUUCACCAUAUCCAGAACACCCCACAC